rnacentral:sRNA from 1 species
AACUAGCCCUGAUUGCAGCGGCAUCCUUUUUUGUUUUUUUUAUGCAAUCACUUCUAUUGGAUUGACAAAUGUUCUGAAAAAACAAAAAAGAUAUAGCGGAAAGCAGAAUUAGCU